rnacentral:rRNA from 1 species
UACGAAGGGGGCUAGCGUUGUUCGGAAUUACUGGGCGUAAGCGCGUGUAGGCGGGUCUUUAAGUUAGGGGUGAAAUGCCAAGGCUCAACCUUGGAACUGCCUUUGAUACUGGAGACCUUGAGUCCGGGAGAGGUGAGUGGAAUUGCGAGUGUAGAGGUGAAAUUCGUAGAUAUUCGGAAGAACACCAGUGGCGAAGGCGACUUACUGGACACAUAUUGACGCUGAGGUGCGAAAGCGUGGGGAGCAAACAGG